rnacentral:rRNA from 1 species
GAACGACUCUCGGCAACGGAUAUCUCGGCUCUUGCAUCGAUGAAGAACGUAGCGAAAUGCGAUACUUGGUGUGAAUUGCAGAAUCCCGUGAACCAUCGAGUCUUUGAACGCAAGUUGCGCCUGAAGCCACUAGGUUGAAGGCACGUCUGCCUGGGCGUCA